CGCCUAGUAACGGCGAGUGAAGCGGCUACAGCUCACAAUUUGAAAGCUGGCUCCGGCCCGCGUUGUAAUUUGCAGAGGAUGCUUCUGGCGAGGUGCCUUCCGAGUUCCCUGGAACGGGACGCCAUAGAGGGUGAGAGCCCCGUAUGGAUGGACACCAAACCUGUGUGAAGCUCCUUCAACGAGUCGAGUAGUCUUGGGAAUGCUGCUCUAAAUGGGAGGUAAAUCUCUUCUAAAGCUAAAUACCGGCCAGAGACCGAUAGCGCACAAGUAGAGUGAUCGAAAGAUGAAAAGCACCUUGAAAAGGGGGUUAAACAGUACGUGAAAUUGUUGAAAGGGAAGCGCUUGUGACCAGACUUGCGCCGGGCAGCUCAUCAGGGGUUCUCCCCUGUGCACUCUGCCCGGCUCAGGCCAGCAUCGGUUCUCGUGGGAGGAUAAGAACGGUAGGAACGUGGCCCCCCUCCGGGGGGGUGUUAUAGCCUGCCGUACGAUACUCCCCGUGGGGACCGAGGUUCGCCGCUCCGCAAGGAUGCUGGCGUAAUGGUCAUCAGCGACCCCGUCUUGAAACACGGACC
rnacentral:rRNA from 1 species